CGACUGUUAAUCCCUCUGCAACCUUCAAAUUGAACCAGUCAUCAGGUCUAGAACAAUUAUCAGCACAACAAUUGAAUAGAAGUUUAAGCAGAAGUAUUCUGGAUUGGUGUUAUCUUUUUCAAGAACAGAGAUAAAAUAUUGAAAUGUGUUAUCCAUAUCCAUCAUAUAUUUUAAAGCAAGUGCUUUGGUAAUAUAUACCCACCGAAGACUUCCUAAUGGAUGG
rnacentral:misc_RNA from 1 species